GUGUCAGCCGCCGCGGUAAGACGGAGGAGGCAAGCGUUAUCCGGAAUUAUUGGGCGUAAAGCGUCCGUAGGUGGCUGCUCAAGUCUGCCGUCAAAGCACAGGGCUUAACUCUGUUAAGGCGGUGGAAACUGAGGAGCUAGAGAGAGGUAGGGGUAGAGGGAAUUCCCAGUGUAGCGGUGAAAUGCGUAGAGAUUGGGAAGAACACCGGUGGCGAAAGCGCUCUACUGGACCUCAUCUGACACUGAGGGACGAAAGCUAGGGGAGCGAAUGGGAUUAGAUACCCGCGUAGUCC
rnacentral:rRNA from 1 species